UCAUUCUAAAAUGUGUGUGGUGUUAUUUAACUGUGGUUUUGAUUUGCAUUUCCCUACUGACUAAUGAUGUUGAGCAUCAUUUCAUGUGUUAGUUUGCCAUCAAUAUAUUUUCUUUGGUGAAGUGUCUUGUCUUAGUCAUCUGUUGCUGCUAUAACAGAAAUACCACAAAUGGAUGGCUUUAACAAAGAGAAAUUUAUUUUCUUACAGUCUAGUAGGCUAGAAGUCCAAAUUCAGGGCGUUAGCUCCAGGGGAAGGCUUUUUCUCUCUGUUGGCUCUGGAAGAACAUCCUUGUCAUCCGUCUUCCCCUGGACUAGGAGCUUCUCUGAGCAGGAACUCCAGAUCCAAAGGACACACUCUGUUGCCGGUGCUUCUUUCUUGGUGGUGCUGUGGAGUCAGUGAUUCCAGUCCAGUGUAGGAGCCAUGGAGGUGUUCUUGAAAUGUACACCCAGACUCCAAUGCCCAAUUGAUGACUUGGCUGAAAAUUUCAAACUUCAAGUUUUUCAAAAAGUCAAUUCACCACGUUCCCCUCCCUGCCUUUUGUUUUACUAUUUGAUGAGAUGAAUGUGUUAAAGAAGCACACUAUGCUUGAUUGAUUAUUUGUAUAAAAUAUAUGGCCAAAGAAGAGGUGCUGUUUUCUCAAGCCUUGGAGAUAACACUAAAGCUAAUGGUGGUGAUAGUGUCUUUGAAGCUGAGUUUUUAUAAAAAUUUAUUUCAGUCAUUUAUUGAGCAGAUUGUGUUCCAGGAACUGUGUUAAGUGUUUUUGAUGUAUUAUCUUGCUUCUGUAUCUAGCUCAAGGUCAUAGAGAAAGUGGCAGAGUUGGCCAGGUCCAUCCAAGGUCAACACCUGUUCUCCUAACCACCUUGCUUGCUGACUGACCUUUUCAACAUGAAUGAGCUGCACUGGAAAACUAAUUGUUGGAACAUUUCGUCAUUGGUGCUCCAGCCACGCUGGGUUCAUGAUUAGGAGUCUGGGACAUCAUGAAAGGAAAAGACUCCUGUUUGAAGGAUGUGCCUUUAUCCUAAGCACUGACCAACACUUCUGCUGAGGGACCUCCGUGAAGACCUUGCCCUCAGAAACCAGAAUCUCUGGAAAACAGCUCAUUAAACAACACGGUGUCUGUGUUGUUUUGUGAGCCUUGCAAGUCACUCACCUUCUGUCCCAUACUGAGGCUUGGUGGGUAUUGGGUUGGUUCAGACUCUAUUAGUUAUCUAUUGUUUCAUAACAAAUUACCUCAGAACUUAGCAGCUAAAAUCAAAAAGCAUUGAUUGUCUCCAGUUCUCUGAGUCAGAGAUUCAGGAGUGUUUUAGUGGCUCAGGGUCUCUUAUGAGGUUGCAGUUAGGAUAGUGGCUGGGGCUGCGUCAUCUGAAGGCUUCACUGGGACUGGAGUAUCUGCUUCCUACAUGUCUCACUCACACAGCUGUUGGUGGGAGGCCACAGUUCUUCAUCACAUGGGCCUUUCAUAGGCCGGCUUGAGUAUUCUCAUGGAAUGGAGGUUAGCUUUCUCACAGAGCCCGUGAUAGAAGAGUGAGAACAAGAAGGAAGCCACAAUGCCUUUUAUAACCUAGUCUUGAAAGUUGUGGACCAAAACUUCCAACACACCUAAGCAAGUCAAUAAAGCCUGGCCCACACUCAAGCAGAGGGGAACUAAACAAAAAAAAAAAACCAAAUCCAUUGCCGUCGAGUCAAUUCCGACUCAUAGCGACCCUAUAGGACAGAGUAGAACUGCCUCAUAGAGUUCCCAAGGAAUGCCUGGCAGAUUUGAACAGUUGACCUUUUGGUUAGCAGCUGUAGCACUUAACCACUAUGCCACCAGAGUUUCCAGAGGGGAAUUAGGUUCCACCUUCUGGGGGGAAAUUGUCAAUGAAUUUGUAGACAUAUUUUAAAACUUUCAGACUCUUUGAGCCGAAGGACAAAAACUCAACUUGGAAAGGGAGGUAUUUAUGGGCCCACAUGACCAAAUCAUGGGAAGGGGAGAGCAAAGCCAGCCUUUCAGGGAUCAAGGACCUAAAAAUAAAAACCAUCUCUCUCUCUCUCUCUCUCACACACACACACACACACUGUUGUGGGUUAAA